UACGAGGGGGGCAAGCGUUGUUCGGAAUUACUGGGCGUAAAGGGCGCGUAGGCGGCUUGCCAAGUCAGGCGUGGAAUUCCCGGGCUCAACCUGGGGGCUGCGCUUGAUACUGGCUGGCUUCGAAUGCGGGAGAGGAUAGUGGAAUUCCCAGUGUAGAGGUGAAAUUCGUAGAUAUUGGGAAGAACACCGGUGGCGAAGGCGGCUAUCUGGCCCGUGAUUGACGCUGAGGCGCGAAAGCGUGGGGAGCAAACAGG
rnacentral:rRNA from 1 species